GGAAAAGAGUGCAGUUCAUGUUUUUAUGAAAGGGAGGGACUUGCAGUCAGUUCACAGCAGGUCCAGCAUGCUGCUGCCUGCGCUGGAAUGAGCUUCAUCGAAAAGUCACGUAAAUCUUGGAUUGAGGAAUCCUUCUCCAAAAGAGAUUGUGUGAAGUUUAUCCCUUCAUCUCGGGACCUACACAGAUGUAUCCCAGGAUGUCAAGUAUGCCAAAACUUGAUAAGAUGUGGUUGUGGCCGCCUGAUUGGGGAGCACUCUUGGCAAGAGUCCCUUCCCCCCACAUACCUCUAUCCUGGUCCUGGACAGGACCUGGAAGAGGACUGGUCCAUCGAGCUCCACACCAAAGCCAGUCCCACCAAUGCCUUUGGGACCAUCGACUUUCAGGACACUGCCACACGCGUCUGCCGGGCCAAGUAUGUUCGUGUGGCUGUGGACUCCAAACCAGAGGUGCUGUUCCAGCUGAUGUUGAGGGAGUGGCAGAUGGAGAGACCCAAGCUGAUCCUAUCUGUCCAGGGCGGCUCAGAAAACUUCACCCUGCCCCGUAAAGUCAAGCAGGCGUUCAGCAAAGGGCUGAUCACUGCCGCCCUCAGCACAGGAGCAUGGAUACUCACUGACGGCAUUAAUACAGGUGUGUCUAAGUAUGUGGGCGAGGCAGUGAAAACAUUUGGGGGCCACAACCUGAGGAAGAGAAACACAGUCGGCAUCACACCAUGGGGAGUCAUUGACAACAACACGGACCUCAUAGGCAGAGAUGUGUUCAGGCCCUACCAGCCGCUGGGGAACCCUUUGAGCAAGAGGGCCUGUCUUAAUGGUUUCCACUCCCACUUUCUGUUGGUGGAUGAUGGAACGCUGGGAAAACAUGGCUGCCAACAAGGCCUCAGGAGGCAGCUGGAGAAACACAUCCAUCUCAAGAACAUACACCCUCGACUGAAACAAGGAGUGCCUGUGGUGUGUGUGGUGGUGGAGGGAGGGCCUGCCAUUGUGUCCGCUGUGUUGGACUAUGUUAGCAAUGUUCCCCCUGUGCCAGUGUUUGUCUUUGAGGGAUCGGGCAGGGCUGCCGACCUGCUCGCCUUCUUACACAAGCAGACUUCUAUUGACAGACAGUUGGAUGCUGACAUUAAAGAGGGCUUCCUUGUCAGGAUUGGAGAUGUGUUUGGAGUCGAGACAGCAGAAGCGUCUCAGCUCUGCAGUCUCCUCCUGCAGUGUAUGGAUCACAGAGAGUCUAUAACCAUCUUUGACUCGGAGGACCAAACGGCACCUGAUGCAGCCAUUUUGACAACUAUUCUCAAGGGUACCUCGGCCAGUCCUGCAGAGCAGCUGAGCAUGGCCCUCGCCUGGGACAGGGCUGACAUCGCACAGAAACACGUCCUGGUGUACGGACAGCAUUGGGAGGUGGGUUCCUUGGAGCAGGCCAUGCUGGAUGCUCUGGUGAUGGACCGAGUCAGUUUUGUCAAACUGCUGAUUGACAACGGCAUGACUAUGAGCCGCUUCCUGACUGUGUAUCGCCUGGAGGAGCUCUAUAACACGCCACAGGGGCAGACGGACCGUUUCCUGCGCCACCUCGUUGAAGAUGCCAAACAGACUUCUCUUCCCAUCGGUUACCGUCUCUCCCUAAUUGACAUGGGCCUGGUGAUCGAGUCCCUCAUAGGAGGAGCGUACCGCAGCAGCUACACACGGAAACACUUCAGAGCUGCCUACAGCAUCCUGCAGGGCAAAGAGCAGGAUGCGUCACCUGGGAGCAGUCCAGAGGUCACGUCGAGCCCUGGCCCUGGUGACGCUCCACUGCUGGUUCCCUUCAACUUCAACGACCUGUUCGUGUGGGCCAUACUUCACCAGCGGCAGCAGAUGGCACUGUUCCUGUGGCAGCAUGGCGAAGAAACGCUGGCACGUGCAGCAGUGGCUUGUAAGCUUUACCGCUCCAUGGCCUUUGAGGCGCGGCAGAGCAGUAUGGACGACAACAUUUCAGACCGAUUCACGACAUAUUCACUUGAGUUUGGUCAGCUGGCGGUGGACUUGUUAGACUGCGCAUUUCGCCAGAAUAAGAAGAUGGCCAUGAAGCUGUUGAUUUCAGAGAUGGACGUAUGGAGCCACUACACCUGUCUGCAGAUGUCUGUCUCCUCAUGUCAUCGGCCAUUUGUCUCACACUCCAGCACUCAGACCCUCCUCACAGAUCUCUGGACCGGUCCACUCAACAUGAGAAAAAACUCCUUUGUGAAGAUCAUUUUGAGCCUUCUUCUGCCUCCUGCCAUCUUGCUAUUGGAGUUUAAAAGCAAAGCUGAAAUGUGCCAUGUGCCACAGUCCCAUGAGGCAAUACUGUUUGGACUUGAGUCCGGGAAGUCUGAACCAGGCGACGAGGGCAGUCAGGAUGCAGAGCGAGGCCUGUCGUUCCAUGACAGAUAUUCCAUGUCAGAAGCUGUUUCCUCUACCACCGUGCAGUGUCUUUCCUGGAUCACAAGAAUCUAUGACUUCUACACAGCUCCUGUUGUCAAGUUUUGGUUUCACACAAUGUCCUACCUGGUCUUUCUGAUGUUAUUCUCCUACGUCGUCCUGGUGGAGAUGCAGGAUCAACCCAGUGUUCAGGAGUGGCUGGUCAUCGCGUACAUCUUGUCCACUGCAGUGGAGAAGACCAGAGAGGUACUCAUGUCUGAGCCGAGGAAGCUGAGCCAGAAGCUAAAGAUUUGGUUCUCAGAGUACUGGAACAUAUCAGAUGUCAUUGCCAUCCUCCUCUUCCUGGCUGGAUUGACACUGCGUUGGUAUGCCAACCCCUACCGGACGGCAGGACGGAUCAGUUACUGUCUGGACAUCAUCUUCUGGUUCGUCAGGGUGCUGGAUCUGCUGGCUGUCAACCAGCAAGCCGGCCCUUACCUGACCAUGAUCAUUAAGAUGACCAGUAACAUGUUCUUCAUAGUGGUGAUGAUGGCAAUAGUUCUGCUGAGCUUCGGUGUGUCCAGGAAGGCCAUCCUGUCGCCAAACGAGGACCCGUCCUGGAGUCUAGCUCGAGACAUCGUCUUCCAGCCCUACUUUAUGAUCUUCGGAGAGGUCUACGCAACAGAGAUAGAUCCAUGUGACGACGGCAAUCCAUGUCCUCCCGCUUCCUUUCUGACGGCAUUCCUCCAGGCUGUCUAUAUGUUCUUUCAGUAUAUCAUCAUGGUCAACAUUCUCAUUGCAUUUUUUAACAACGUCUACUUUGACUUGGCAUCAAUCUCCAAAAAUCUGUGGAAGUACAACCGAUAUCGUUACAUAAUGACCUACCAGGAGCUACCGUGGUUGCCUCCGCCGUUUAUCCUCAUUAGUCACAUGACCAUAGGUUUAAGAGCCAUCUACAGGAAAUGCAUUGGGGAUGCUGAGCGGGAGGAGAGAGGCUCUGGACUUAAGCUCUACCUGGGCCAUGAGGACCGUAAGAGGCUUCAUGAGUUUGAAGAGAAAUGUGUCGAGGCCUACUUCCACGAGAAGAGUGAAGGUCUUCAAAGCUGUCAAAUGAACAGGAUCAGAGCCACGUCUGAGAGAGCCGAGGAGAUGUGCAUGAUGGUGGGGGAAGUCUCAGACAAGGUCAUCUUCAUUCAGGACAGCCUAUCGGGCUUGGACGGUCAGCUGGGUCAACUCCAGGACCUGUCGGCUCUGGCCGUGGACACCCUCACUCUGCUCUCUGCUUCUGACAGCCUGCAACAGGAGGAGGCUCGUCUGGCUCAAUGUCAACUCCUCACAGAGUCCCGGCACAUCCUCCCUCACAGCUGGACCCUCCCGCACACAAGUGAAGCAGACUGUGAUGUACUUACUCCUACUGUUAACCAUCCUGGUGAGAAUUGCCUGGGCACCUCUAGAGCUGGGUCUCACGCUUCCCUCGCUCACUUUUACGGAGGUGGACCAUCCCACUGUGGGUCUCCUCUUUCUGCCAGAAGCUUGGAGUCAUCAUACCAUAAGCCACACGUGUAUCCCAGUCAGGAGAAAACCUCUGUGGAUAAGCAAGCGGAGGAAAGGACACACGAACAGCUGUCUAACGUCGUAGUAUCCAGAGCCUCUUCCAAUGAUUUCCUUCUGUCCAAGUCUCGAGACAUCUCUGAGGGUUUAGUCAAUCCUGCCUUUUCCCCGGAUGAUAGCCGACCAAGUUCUCGGUACAGACCUUCCAGCCCAUGUGAAAGGUCUUUGAAAUUGACCGGGUGGAGAUAUCUGUCCAGAGACAGUCCCUACGGCCACUGCAGAUCCCUGUCAUCCAGUGUGGAGAAUAUGACUUUCUCUGGGGCACCCCUGACUCUCAUGAGGGGAUCAUUUCCUUCGCUUAAUGAACCGAUGGACAAAGAGAGUUUGUCUGAUGAGAGGAGUUUGAGGGAAAACAGAUCGCUACUGUGCAGCAAGAACAAAGAGUGGUCCAAGUCCUCUGACUUCACUCAAGUCCUAAACAGCAGAGGCAAACGCCACAGCAGGAAGACAGUGAAGAUACAAGAGAGCAGUCCAGAUACUGAAACCACGCAGUCCAAUCUGUCUGAUGCGUGCUGGAGAAGGAACCGGAGAUUGACAGGAGAGCCGGCAUGUUGGUCGGCUUCAACCAGCCUCAGCCAGCUCAAUUUCGAACCAAUGGAUUUGUUGAAAAAGCAAGUGUUUUCCCAUCAGGAUGUGUGGAGCAGCUGGGCCCGAUCCAUGAGCCACAAGUCUUCUUUACAGAGUGGGAUUGCCUCCGAAGUGAAGAGCUCCUCAUUCCAGUCCUCUGAAAUUUUGUAUCCGCACUAUUCAGCUAUGGAGAGAAACAAUCUGAUGAGACUGGCUCAGACCAUUCCCUUCACUCCUGUCUCCAUUCUGGGAGGUGAAGAGGUGAGCAUCUACUCUCUGGAGGAAGUGUCCUCUGGUGCUGACCCAGAAUGUGGCCCAGUCUCCUCCUGGUCGUCACGAGGCCUGUCUGCCAUGCUGCAGCCCCUCUCCAGUGAAGAGGGCUCUAUGGACGGGGGUCUCCGACUGGGCUGCAGGGUGCUGUGUACCUGGGCAGAACGGAACGUGCUCGGACCUGGUCUGGUGUACGUGGUCAAAGCCUUCAGGCCGGAGGUGGUUCGUGCCUGGCAGAUGUACUUCGAUGGUAGCACGGCACUACAGCUUUGUUUAAGAGAGAUCCAGCAGCAGAGAGCAGCCCAGAAGAUGAUGCAAAUGUUCAACGAGGUCAAACCUGAUGAUAUGCAUCACUCACCAAGGUGUGCGUUUUCUCUUGUGCAUGCAUUUGUGCGUUUCUGUACAUGUACUAAUGUAUUUCCCCCCACCAGGUAUCUAGAUGUAGCGCUGGUCUUCUGGCAUUCCAAUGGCCAGUGGAUGACUAUCGAGAGGAACAUGUCGGGGGACUUCAGGAAGUACAACAACAACACUGGAGAAGAGAUCACCCCCUGCUGUUCACUGGAAGAAAUGCUGCUAGCCUUCUCCCACUGGACAUACGAGUACUCAUGCAGAGAGCUUCUGGUGCUCGAUAUACAAGGUGUCGAAGAGGAGCUGACCGAUCCGACUGUCAUUAUGGCAGACGAUCAAAGAGGUGAGAUGCUUUUUGGUCCAGAUAACCUCGGAGAUGCCGCCAUCAGCGGUUUCCUGCAGAAACAUUCUUGCGGUGGCUGCUGCCGCCGACUGGGCCUGACAGAUUUAAGAAAGAGUCCGGACAGCUGCGAGGAAGAGCCGACAUGGGGGAAAGAAGAACAAGAGGGCGAUGAACCCAGGAUGUGAUCUUUGACCCAGGAAAUCCUUAAUGAAUCUUCACAAAGGCUGACUGAGUACAUCUUUGUCACCAGAGCCUUCACUGUUGUCGGGGCAUGUGAAAAACCCAUUAGUUGGUGAAAAACAACAACUAUUGGUUCAACUUUGCUCCAUGUGCUUCUUCAGCCUUGAGAGUGUUAUUGCAUUCAGUUUGUGGAAAGAACAUGAACACAUGUUGCUCUCCGCUCAUGAGAUACACAUGACAUGGCGUUUACAGGCGAUGUGACUUCCCAGCUGCAUUUGAAGCACACACUUUGAAUAAUGCCGCAGAUGUUUUCACCUGCUCGGCCUGAACCAUUUAACUGAGAGACAUGAUGUGCGGUUCUUGAAUGAGACAGAUUAAAGGGUGGGUUGGGUGCUUAACAUUUUGCCUUUGAAUAGUUAUAGUCUGUAUAGUGCAUGUGGGUCUUUGGGUGAUGUUAUCAGAAAUAAUCUGUCACUCAUUGUCUAUCUAAGCAAAUACUCUCUCGAGCUGUCUUUUCUAUCAUGGUAUUUUACUUUUAUCUGUGUUUAAAUGUGAAUAUUGUUACUGUGGUAGUCCAUUGUAAUGGCCGUAUGGCCAGUAAUGUUGUAGCUGCUGUCAGUAUUCCUGUAAUGCAGUUUUACUUUGUUUUUACAUGAGUGUUUCUCUACCAUUGAAUAGUAGAUUUAAUUUCUGCCUAUUUGAAAGCCUUUUCAUGAAGUGUUUGUGUUGUAUUCCAAUCUUUAUUUUAUGGAUAAGGUCUGACCACAUAUGUGUCCUUAAAAUGCAAAAAUCUAGAGAGCUCUCAACAACUUAAAAAAUGAAAAAUAACAGCCAUAUUAUCGUCAAGUCUCCUUCGAACAUUUGCAGUACAGUAACCUUGAGUUAAGAUUAGCACAGAAGUUGUAAUGUAUAGAGAACUCAGAAUUGUAAAAACUAUUCCGAAGAGAGCAUUGCUGGAGCUAGCUUAACUUUGAAUGCUGCUGGGCUUGAUUUAGUGGACAUUGACGAGCUUUAGAUAAACAAUAAUGUUCAUGGUUUCUACCAGUGGGCCAUACAGGUGAAAGAAUAAACCAGCGUCUAAAAAAGUGGACACCAAAAUCCAGACACUUGCAACAGAAAUAAAAUACUUUAUUCAAAUGUGUCUCUAAAUAUAGGCUAUUAAUUGUAGGCUACUAUCGGAAAAAGAUGACAGGAAUUUUAUAUGGAUGCUGUUUACGUCCACAGAGAAAUAACAAUGAAGUCUAAAAAAAAAAAAUUCUGUAUACAAAAUAAAGUGUCCUAGAGAAUCUGAUGAACAAAAACAAACUCCAUGUGAGCGUAUGAUGAAGUUUGUUUGGCAGGCUGAGGAGGAAAAUAAAGACAAAGGACAAAGCGGUGGGAAGAACGAGAGGCUACGGAGGUGUCCAUGUCGCUCAUUCUGCAAAUAAACAAAAAGUAAACAGCAGCGGAGGAAACACUGCGACACUUGAUGCUGCUGAUCGCUUUUCCGCCUGCCCACUCAAGUUUCCCAGAAGGCCUUUCUGCCGGCCACAGGACAAAAGUAGCGCAAAAAGGCAACACCUCUUUCCCCCUUCGGGCGCUCGGAGACAAAAGGGAGAAAAAAAGCGAUACAACAUCUUUGUUUGCCGAGAUUAAAACAUGUUGCAUUCUCCGCCUCCCUCCCAUACUCUCGCCUCUCUUCCCUCCGUCUCUCCCCAGAGGUAACUCUACCGGGCCAGAGAUGCAACUGUCAGUGAACUCACUCUCUCUCUCUCUCUCUCUCUCCAUUUUCGGUAGCUCAUAAAAUCUGCCAUAUUAUUUCUGUGUAUUCUAUUGUCGAGGUGACAUUGUAUUGCAUCUUGUGACGUUGCGAUGAGCGGAUAAGCCUUGGCACGGCGUGAAUGAGAAGGCCUCUCCUUCUGCUGGGCGAUACGGGGAUAUAGUUGGUGAUGUGACCAGACUUGUGCCCCAGCCUGAUUGUUAAUGACUGAAACUGAGUAGCUGUUGAUAUAAAAGAACACCCAGCCGUACCCCUCCAUAGAGGGAAUCUGACUCUGACGAUAACAGCUCAGGAAUUCACACGUGAACAAAGACAAGUGCCGUGUGCCCUGCCACAUCAUAAUAAAGUAUUCACAGAAUAAUUGCCUGAUCCGUGUGCUGUGAUAACAGAACACGUUGAGGUGUAAGGAGGGCCACGCUUUGUUUACAGCAAACUGAACCAGCUUCUCUCACACUUGGCAACAAGUCUUACGCAGUUCCCAUAAUAACGGUUAUUAUUCUACAAAGUUCACAGUCGACAUGUGAGGCGACACGCAGAUCAAAUCCAACAAUCUAUCACUACAAUGGUAGCCGUGGCAGGGAGGGUGGCCCAGAGACACGCACUCUCUUCAUGGGGGGUUUCUGCCAAUCUGGCAACCACAGCGGGAGGUCCAACUCUCAUCAGCGCUGUAGGAUUCAGACCACUUGUCUACCGCUCCGUUGUCUCUCAUCUGCACACAGGCUUUAAGACAGAACUAGCAAAUGAUGUGCAAUCAGUCGAUUGUUUAUUCAGAGAUGCGUUUUUGAGUUUUUCUAAUGUAAUUUGACGGUGUUUGUAAGUACAAAUAAAAUGAUACCAACCCCUAGCUGUUGUUUUGGGGUCGCAGUAACAGCAUGUCAUCUUUUCUUUCAUGUAAACUGACCAUUUUAACCAUUUGAAUGAUUUUUCAUACACAGGGAAAGUAAAUCCAAUGAGUUGAGAAUUCAAGUAUUUUUUUGACCUUGGGAAUAUAGUUUCUCACCAGUUUGAAGUUAAUUUUCAAAACUUAAAUCUCAAGAUGUCAUGGAAAUGUGUGCAUACCAUGACAACAGGGUAAACUCCAUCUGCUGAGCAAGAUCGGGCGAUAAAGUCUGAAGCUCAAAAACAACUCAACUCCUCAAUGAACUUCGUGGAUGAGAUUGUUUGUGAAACACCCAACAGUUUCCCUAUUUUUGGGGCUUAUUCCCACAACAGUA